rnacentral:rRNA from 1 species
GACGAACGCUGGCGGCGUGCUUAACACAUGCAAGUCGAACGAGUGGCGGACGGGUGAGUAAUACGUGGGAACCUGCCCUCGUUGUGGGGAUAAGCCUUGGAAACGGGGUCUAAUACCGAAUAGGGGAGGAGGGGCUCGCGGCCUAGUAGCUAGUAGGUGGGGUAAAGGAUCACCUAGGCGACGAUCUCUAGCUGGUCUGAGAGGAUGACCAGCCACACUGGGACUGAGACACGGCCCAGACUCCUACGGGAGGCAGCAGUGGGGAAUAGUGCACAAUGGGCGCAAGCCUGAUGCAGCCAUGCCGCGUGUAUGAAGAAGGCCUUAGGGUUGUAAAGUACUUUCAGCGGGGAGGCGUUACCCGCAGAAGAAGCACCGGCUAACUCCGUGCCAGCAGCCGCGGUAAUUC